rnacentral:lncRNA from 1 species
GGACGAUUAUGUGCGGAGGAUUAUUAGUAUGAGGAAAUACGACGACGGUAAAAUGGUAAAUUUAGCUAGUAAAGGUAAUUUUUAUUCGGGUAUUAUUUUUUCGGGGUGUUUUUAUUUUUGGAAUUGGGUUGAUAUAGGUUGGACCGGUGGAGGCCCAACCCAUUUCUUUUUCCUCCUCCCUUUCUCUUCUUCCCUCUUUUCUUUUCCUCUCCCCGAGCCUCCCGCUGCCCGGUUUUCCGGCUGUCCUCCCGCCGCCGUCCGGCCUCCGUUCGCCGCCGGACCGGUCCCGUUCGGUCGGUCUCCCUCCCAGCAACAUUUCUAGACCGGUGAGAGGAGCCCUAGCUCCGCCGUGAGAGAGCGGUGCCACCCGAAAGCUCCGACUGCCGAAUCGGUUUUCUCGCCGGAACUUCCUCCUCCGGCCACCAAUCCGGGCAAGCUUGGUACGGUUUUGUAGCCCUCCUCCCGUGCAACAACCCCUUCAAACAGCUCCCUCCCUCUUGAGCUAGGUAAGGAGAAAUGUGGAGUUGAAAUUUCUAGGCUUUUAAGUUAUUUUCGUUCGAUUAGCCUAGUUAGGCUUAGAAUUGGGUGAUGUGUUAGUCAUGAAAGUUGUAGAGGAGAUUGAGAGGAAGAUUCUGUUAAAAUUUGGUAGCAUUUGCAGGUCGCCGGAAAACGGCUGCCGGCCGCCGCUGCCGGCGGAGCCGCCGCCGGUUAGUAGAUUUUUAGGGUUUUAAAUGUGGAAUAUUAAGAGGAGUAUAUUGGUGUGAUUUAUGGAAUUUUUGGAUGAGAUUUGGAUAGGUUUGUGAAUUUCCGAAGCUAGGUAUUUUUGGCGGUUAAUUAAUGUAGAAUCCGGCCGUAGGAUUUAAGUCGUAUUUUAGAGAGGUUGUAUUUACGACUGUUGAGUAUGAUAUUUAAGUUCGGAUCGUUCCGAUUUUAGAAUAUCGAAGUUAGGCAAUGAUGAGCGUAUUUAUGGCUCUCGGGUAAUUUUGCCUAUUUUGAUUAAAUAUGGGAUUAUUGGCUGGGAAAUUAAUAUUUUAUUUGGAACAGGACGUGAGGAGACUCGAGCAGACGAGACCCCAGAUCGACAGCAGGCUUAGGCCUAAUUUGUGAGUGGACGUU